rnacentral:rRNA from 1 species
UACGUAGGUGGCAAGCGUUGUCCGGAUUUACUGGGCGUAAAGAGCGCGCAGGCGGUCGUUCAAGUCGCGUGUGAAAGCCCCCCGGCUCAACUGGGGAGGGUCACGCGAUACUGAUCGACUCGAAGGCAGGAGAGGGUAGUGGAAUUCCCGGUGUAGUGGUGAAAUGCGUAGAUAUCGGGGAGGAACACCAGUAGCGAAGGCGGCUCGCUGGGCCACACCUGACGCUGAGACGCGAAAAGCUAGGGGGAGCGAACAGG